GGUGCUCAAGAAACAUUAUCAGAGUUGCAAACAUGAAAACUUUUUUUUUUUUUGUGGAAACCAUGUUACUUUUUUUAUGAUUCUUUUAUGUAUAGGUUUAAAGUUUAAAAUAACAGGAUUUAUUUGAAAUAGAAAUAUUUUGUAACAUUAUAAAUGUUUUUACAGUCACUUUUGCUAAAUAAAAGUGUUGAUUUAAAAAAUAUUACUUACCCCAGUAUAUAAUAAUAAUUUAAAAUAAUAAUUUAUAUAUGCAAAUAUUUAAACCUAUCUCUGAUCCUCUCUACCCACUUCCUACACAGGAGUUGCUUGUAGGAACAAUGUUUUGAUAUACAGUAUAUUUAAUUAUACACAAUUUAAGUGUGUGUGUGUGUGUGUGUGUGUAUAUAUGUGGUAGGCUAUUUCNNNNNNNNNNNNNNNNNNNNNNNNNNNNNNNNNNNNNNNNNNNNNNNNUACAUAAAUACACACACACACACACACACACACACACACACACACACACACACACACACACACACACACACACACACACACACACACACACACACACACACAGAAUUAUAAAAGAGAUUUGAUGUGUGAUAUAUUUUAAGGAAACUUUUAAAAACCAAAACACAAAUCAUAAUAUGUUCUCCUUUCUGUUAACUCUGUUCCCUUUUGAAUUCUGUUUGUUCAUGCAGGAACGUGCGUUUGGUGAACUGGAGAAGAACAGUGAUAAACAGAGGUUCAGUCAGUCCCAGAAACAGACGGAGGCUCCAUCACACUUCCACCACCUGCUGUCAGCCCUUCACAGACACCUGCUGGCCCACUGCUACAUCCACAUAGGCGAUGAGGAUGACAGUAGCGUACUGCUGCUACAUAAGCACCUGUGCCUGCUGCUGCCUUACGCAGCCGAGACCUUCAGGAGAUCCACCAUUCUUCUGGAGGAGAGCACACUGGACAAACACGUCAUCAAGAAACUACACAGUAAGAACACACAUUAUGCAUCAUUCAUCCGUCCAUCUAACCAUCCAUGCAUCCAGCCAUCUGUCUGUCACUCCCUUUAUUCAUUCAUCCAUUCAUCUGGAGUAGCAGUUCAUCUUUCCACUCACACGUCCAUGUAUGUA
ensembl:lncRNA